rnacentral:rRNA from 1 species
AUUGAACGCUGGCGGCAGGCCUAACACAUGCAAGUCGAGCGGAUGAAGGGAGCUUGCUCCUGGAUUCAGCGGCGGACGGGUGAGUAAUGCCUAGGAAUCUGCCUGGCAGUGGGGGAUAACGUCCGGAAACGGGCGCUAAUACCGCAUACGUCCUGAGGGAGAAAGUGGGGGAUCUUCGGACCUCACGCUAUCAGAUGAGCCUAGGUCGGAUUAGCUAGUUGGUGGGGUAAAGGCCUACCAAGGCGACGAUCCGUAACUGGUCUGAGAGGAUGAUCAGUCACACUGGAACUGAGACACGGUCCAGACUCCUACGGGAGGCAGCAGUGGGGAAUAUUGGACAAUGGGCGAAAGCCUGAUCCAGCCAUGCCGCGUGUGUGAAGAAGGUCUUCGGAUUGUAAAGCACUUUAAGUUGGGAGGAAGGGCAGUAAGUUAAUACCUUGCUGUUUUGACGUUACCAACAGAAUAAGCACCGACUAACUUCGUG